rnacentral:rRNA from 1 species
UGUUUCGGCUAGGGGGCCAUCCCGGCUUACCAACCCGAUGCAAACUGCGAAUACCGGAGAAUGUUAUCACGGGAGACACACGGCGGGUGCUAACGUCCGUCGUGAAGAGGGAAACAACCCAGACCGCCAGCUAAGGUCCCAAAGUCAUGGUUAAGUGGGAAACGAUGUGGGAAGGCCCAGACAGCCAGGAUGUUGGCUUAGAAGCAGCCAUCAUUUAAAGAAAGCGUAAUAGCUCACUGGUCGAGUCGGCCUGCGCGGAAGAUGUAACGGGGCUAAACCAUGCACCGAAGCUGCGGCAGCGAACGUAUCACUUAAAGCGAUUCAGCGGAUGACGAUUGACGGAGCGAAGCGACGUCAAAGCGUAUACAAAGUCGAGUCGGUUUAAGGAUACGUUCGUUGGGUAGGGGAGCGUUCUGUAAGCCUGUGAAGGUGGCCUGUGAGGGUUGCUGGAGGUAUCAGAAGUGCGAAUGCUGACAUAAGUAACGAUAAAGCGGGUGAAAAGCCCGCUCGCCGGAAGACCAAGGGUUCCUGUCCAACGUUAAUCGGGGCAGGGUGAGUCGACCCCUAAGGCGAGGCCGAAAGGCGUAGUCGAUGGGAAACGGGUUAAUAUUCCCGUACUUGGUGUUACUGCGAAGGGGGGACGGAGAAGGCUAUGUUGGCCGGGCGACGGUUGUCCCGGUUUAAGCGUGUAGGCUGGUUUUCCAGGCAAAUCCG